UGAAGAAGGCCUUCGGGUUUGUAAAGCUCUUUCANCUGGAACGAAACGGUACGCUCUAACAUAGUGUGCUAAUGACGGUACCAGCAGAAGAAGCACCGGCUAACUACGUGCCAGCAGCCGCGGUAAUACGUAGGGUGCGAGCGUUAAUCGGAAUUACUGGGCGUAAAGCGUGCGCAGGCGGAUUGUUAAGCAAGACGUGAAAUCCCCGGGCUUAACCUGGGAAUGGCGUUUUGAACUGGCAGUCUGGAGUGUGUCAGAGGGGGGUAGAAUUCCACGUGUAGCAGUGAAAUGCGUAGAGAUGUGGAGGAAUACCAAUGGCGAAGGCAGCCCCCUGGGAUAACACUGACGCUCAUGUACGAAAGCGUGGGUAGCAAACAGGAUUAGAUACCCUGGUAGUCCACGCCCUAAACGAUGUCAACUGGUUGUUGGGGGAGUGAAAUCCCUUAGUAACGAAGCUAACGCGUGAAGUUGACCGCCUGGGGAGUACGGUCGCAAGAUUAAAACUCAAAGGAAUUGACGGGGACCCGCACAAGCGGUGGAUGAUGUGGAUUAAUUCGAUGCAACGCGAAAAACCUUACCUACCCUUGACAUGUCCAGAAUCCUGCAGAGAUGCGGGAGUGCCCGAAAGGGAAUUGGAACACAGGUGCUGCAUGGCUGUCGUCAGCUCGUGUCGUGAGAUGUUGGGUUAAGUCCCGCAACGAGCGCAACCCUUAUCAUUAGUUGCUACGCAAGGGCACUCUAAUGAGACUGCCGGUGACAAGCCGGAGGAAGGUGGGGAUGACG
rnacentral:rRNA from 1 species